rnacentral:rRNA from 1 species
AAGAGGUCCCGCCUGCCCUGUGAAUUAAAUUUUAACGGCCGCGGUAUCUUGACCGUGCAAAGGUAGCGUAAUCACCUGUCUUUUAAAUGAAGACCUGUAUGAAUGGCAAAACGAAGGCCCAACUGUCUCCCUCUCCCAGUCAAUGAAAUUGAUCUCCCCGUGCAGAAGCGGGGAUACUUACAUAAGACGAGAAGACCCUAUGGAGCUUUAGACGCACCGACAGACCAUGUAACCUCCCCCCUUGAUAAAAAGACAAAACCAUUAUGACCCCUGUCGCAAUGUCUUCGGUUGGGGCGACCCCGGAGAAAUAUAGAACCCCCGAGCGGAUUGAAGACACACCUCAGCUUCAUAAAUAAGAGUCACAACUCACAAAAUCAGAACCUCUGACCUAAAGAUCCGAUUCAAUCGAUCAACGGACCGAGUUACCCUAGGGAUAACAGCGCAAUCCUCUUUAAGAGCCCCUAUCGACAAGGGGGUUUACGACCUCGAUGUUGGAUCAGGACAUCCUAAUGGUGCAGCCGCUAUUAAGGGCUCGUUUGUUCAACGAUUAAAGUCCU